AACGAACGCUGGCGGCGUGGAUUAGGCAUGCAAGUCGAACGAUCCUUGUGCUUUGCACAAGGAUAGUGCGAAAGGGUGAGUAACACGUGGGUAAUUUACCCUUGAGACGGGGAUAACCCCGCGAAAGUGGGGCUAAUACCGGGUAAAACCGAUUGGCCGCAUGGUAGAUCGGAUAAAGGUUCCCGCAAGGGUUCCGCUCGAGGAUGAGCCCGCGUCCUAUUAGCUAGUUGGUGGGGUAAUGGCCCACCAAGGCGACGAUGGGUAGCCGGCCUGAGAGGGUGGUCGGCCACACUGGGACUGAGACACUGCCCAGACUCCUACGGGAGGCUGCAGUCGAGAAUCUUCCGCAAUGGGCGAAAGCCUGACGGAGCGACGCCGCGUGGGGGAUGAAGGCUCUCGGGUCGUAAACCCCUGUCAGCUCGGAAGAAAGUCUGCUACCCUGUAGACUGACGGUACGGGCAGAGGAAGCUCCGGCUAAAUCCGUG
rnacentral:rRNA from 1 species